GACCAGGAGACCAUCCCUGCAGCAGCCGGGCCAUGCUCUGAGGAUGUGGGACGAGGACCCCCACUGUCUCUGAGUACAGGGCCUCAGACCUAAGGCAGGAGCACCCCCUAUGCCAGACCUCCUGGGUCACAGGAUAUGCACGGACAUUGGGAAGGGAUGGAGGAUGGACGGAGGAAGGACGUGCAGUUGCAGCUCUUUCUGCAGAUGCCCUGAGAGAGGAGCAAGAAGGUCCUCGCCAGAUGCUCCUGGACUUGCUUUGGACUUUCCCUUGCUCUUGGACUUGCUCUGGCACCUGUGCUCUUGGACUUCACAGCCUCUAGAACUGUGAGAAAUAAAUUUCCGUUCAGUAUAAA
rnacentral:lncRNA from 10 species